GAAACCGUGUACGUACAAGCAGUGGGAGCACCUUCGGGUGUGACUGCGUACCUUUUGUAUAAUGGGUCAGCGACUUAUAUUCUGUAGCAAGGUUAACCGUAUAGGGGAGCCGCAGGGAAACCGAGUCUUAACUGGGCGUUAAGUUGCAGGGUAUAGACCCGAAACCCGGUGAUCUAGCCAUGGGCAGGUUGAAGGUUGGGUAACACUAACUGGAGGACCGAACCGACUAAUGUUGAAAAAUUAGCGGAUGACUUGUGGCUGGGGGUGAAAGGCCAAUCAAACCGGGAGAUAGCUGGUUCUCCCCGAAAGCUAUUUAGGUAGCGCCUCGUGAACUCAUCUUCGGGGGUAGAGCACUGUUUCGGCUAGGGGGUCAUCCCGACUUACCAACCCGAUGCAAACUACGAAUACCGAAGAAUGUUAUCACGGGAGACACACGGCGGGUGCUAACGUCCGUCGUGAAGAGGGAAACAACCCAGACCGCCAGCUAAGGUCCCAAAGUCAUGGUUAAGUGGGAAACGAUGUGGGAAGGCACAGACAGCCAGGAUGUUGGCUUAGAAGCAGCCAUCAUUUAAAGAAAGCGUAAUAGCUCACUGGUCGAGUCGGCCUGCGCGGAAGAUGUAACGGGGCUAAACCAUGCACCGAAGCUGCGGCAGCGACACUA
rnacentral:rRNA from 1 species